GGGGUUGUAGCUCAGUGGUAGAGCACUUGUCUAGCAUAUGUGAGGCACUGGGUUCAAUCCUCAACACCA
rfam:Ictidomys tridecemlineatus contig013876, whole genome shotgun sequence.